UGAGACUGUAUAGUCCUAGGGGGAAAAAAUGGCUCGGUCGCCAUUCUAAUAUAGUGAUGCAAAAAAUUGGUUCGCAAAAUAGCUCUCUCGCUUAAUAGAACAAGCGAGUCCGACACAGCGCAAACCGGUUUCUUCUUCUUCUUCACCUGUGUCGUAAUAUCUUGGUGCAGCGUGUAUCGACUCUGCCACACAAUCCUACCAUUGACCUUCACAAUGGAAUUGAUUUCAGGAAUGAUAAGUAAUUGAAAUAUUUCUCCAUUCUGAGGGUGCCAUCCAUGUGGGUCUUGAUUGCAGGAGUGAAUUUCUUGUUUCUGAUGAUGCUUUCAGGCCACCUGAAAUUACAAAGCCUAUGAAUGUUGUGAACAACAUGGUCAUCAACCAAUUGAGCGAAUCUGUUUGUACUUGAAGUGGGCUUUGUGGUUUUUCAAUCGUGGAUAUCAGCGACAUCGCAGAUUCCUGAACCCAAAUGCACGAAAGAUUUGGGUUUCGGGGCUUAAUGCUUCUGGUGUUGUGCAAGAGUCCAUAGCACAACAUGCACUCCAACUGUUCGCUAAAAUGUGGCACUUAGUUGUGUUAUGCAAUGGGGUGGUAAUGCAAUUCUUGAUUUUGAUUUGGGCUACCACAUGAGCAUUCGAGACAAAGGUAGUGAUGAGUUUCUCAAGAGUUGCUUCAUUGGAGGACUAAUGACAUGCUUCGUCAUUGGUUUGGCACCAAAAACAUACCAAAUUUUAGUCUUGUUUGCGGUUGUGUUGAGUAGUCUAGCUUAUCUAUUGGAUAACUUGUCCCCUGUUUUGUAAUAAAUAGAUGCAAGACCAAAUUUCUGGAUUUUUCAUGUAUCUCAUGGUGCCAAAUUUAAUUUCAUGGUCCAAAUUGCUA